GCCACAUCCAAGUCAGCAGUGAAUCACCUGAGACGGGAGGUGGGGCGAGGCCCCAUGGCGUUGUCCCGUGGGAAGGUCAGAGACAGCAGACAGAAGCAGGGACGACAGACACAGUCCGGAGGGCUGUAAGCUAGGGGUGGUGGGAUCAGGUUUCUGAAACUUCCUCCACUGCCGUGUGGAUGCAAGGCAGAAGCUGGCCCAGGAGGGUCACUUAGAAGGCCACCUCUUAAAACAGAGAUGAGCAAAGACAACGGCUGACCUGGGGCAGGGGAAUUAGGGGUGGGGGAAGGGGAGAGGAGAUGCUGCCUGGGCUGGGGGCUGUCUUUCAUGAGGCAGCCAGAGGAGCCAAGGAUGGCCUCUGAAUGGGAGGCUGGGGCUGAGUCCAGCCAUCCCAGGACCUCCGGUGUGUGACUCCUGGACAUACCAGUCUUUGCCAUCCUAGCCCAGGCUGUCCCCACAUCCAAAGCUCCCCCUGUGGUCCCACCCCUGCUGCCCUUCAGAGCUGCGACCAUGGCCCUCAGGCCUGUCCACCGCCCUCGGCAACAUCAUGGCUAACCUGGGCUCCACACAUUUCUUCCAUCAGCAGACAGUGCCCCUCCGGGGGAAGCUCUGAGACCCAGCACCUAUCGGGAAAAACUCAAAGGUCCAGGCGCUGAAUCUAAGCCAGGCACGUUCUUCAUUUGUGUAUUAUCUACGGCCCAGUUCUUGCUGCAGCAGCGGAAUCGAGAAGCUGCGGGAGAGACCCCGCAGCCUGCAAAGCUGAAAAUAUUUACUUCCUGGCCAUUCACAGAAAAUGUUUGCCAACCCAUGACCUAAAGCAUCAUCUCUCAGAGGGUUGGGAAGGAACCUGGAAGCUGUCCCAUUCAGAGGCGGGAGCUUCAACGGGACCCUGCGUCUUCUGCCUCCAAGGCCUGUGGUAGGGGCUGUCACAGGCUGCAGAGGAGUCCAGGAGGGAGAUGCUACAGGUAAGGCAGGAGGAUGGAGAAGAGAGAACAGACUUGAACUAGACUUAGGGUCACACCAGCAGCUGUGAGCAGCUGACGAGUGUUCCAGUGCAAGGAGAGGAGGGUGCAAGAGCCAGGGAUUAUACACUGAUUAGCCUCCAUCACCGCAGAAAUUAUCUUGCCUGUGCAUGGUGCGAGGGUCUGGAACAUACAUUUAACCAAGGCAAGGAGCGAAGUGAGAGGAAGCAAUAUUGUGGAUUGCAGGAGGUGAUGGAUGAGAUGAGAGAAGAAUCUGCAUGGUCAGAAUCUGUUUGGCAUCGGAAGGGAAGUACCCAGGAAAUUUGAGGAUCGCCUCGUCCAGUUGUCUGUGGAACUGAACUGUGAGUUGUCCAUGAGGGAUGAAUGGCAAUGCCAAUGUUUCCAGAGUUUCUGUCAUGAGGUCUCCUGGCUUGGAGAUGGAGAGGGCACACACAGGUUUCGGAUUCAAGCCUGCAGGACAGUCCUGGCUGCACCACUCAGGAACCCUGGGUGAGUCUCUUUACCCCUCACAGCCUCAGUUUUCCCUUCCUGGAAAUGGGACCACAAUCCAAACCUUGUAGAACUGCUUCAAAGAUGAAAGGAGACAUCGCAUGUGAGAUGCCGGCCCAUAGGAGCCAGGGCACGAAAGGCAGCUCCGCAUUGGGUCCCCAAAAAGUCUCCGCAGGUUGGCAGCCAAGAGAGCUACCAUUUCUUUGUUUGGAGAGAUUCCACUCCCUGGAAAGGGUAAUCCUGCAGGAAAGGAGGAGGGAGUCGUUCCAGAGUUUGGGAGAUGUCGGCUUUGACUCUGAGUGAUGCCGCCUCAAACACUUACUGUCAUACAGGAAGUUACUCAAACACAAUCAAUUAGACACCCAUAUUAGCAUAUUUGUCAUUGUAAUACAGCCGCAGAGAGGAGAUGCUGGAGACUGUUUAUUGCUGUUCUGAGCUAAUAUUUAUUAAAGUGAUUAAUAUGUUUUUCAAAUAUCUGUGACAGGCGUGGCAGGAAUUACUGAUCUCCUCCCUCGAGAGCCUGAAAGGGUGAGGGGUGGGAGUCACUUAGAGAGGGGCGGCAGGUAGGGGCCUUGGGGCCUCAGGGGACCGUGUCCUCCUCUGGGGCCCCUUUCCUGCUCGGGCCUCCUGCCUUCCAUCUUCCCCUGUCUCCUCCACCUUCAACUUCCCCUGUCUCCUCUCCUCCACCUUCAACUUCCCCCUCUACUGACCGUUCCCAUCGGCAUUCUGAGACAUCUCCCACCAUGACAAAUAGAGACCUCCCAGGAUGCCCUGUCCCCCUGCUCCUUCCUGGACCCCCUCAUCCCCAGCCAUUCUGCCAUCUUCCUCCUUCCCUCCAUAGCCAAACUCUUCAAAAGAACUCUUUUCCCUCCCUACCUCCUUUGCUCAUCUUCCAGUCUCUGCUUUUUAAAAAUCAUUACAAAAAAUUAAAAGUGGCUGGGCGCGGUGGCUCACACCUGUAAUCCCAGUACUUUUGGAGGCCAAGGCGGGAGGGAAUAACCUGAGGUCAGGAGUUCGAGACCAGCCUGGCCAACAUGGUGAAACCCUGUCUCUAUUAAAAAUACAAAAAUUAGCAGGGUGUGGUAGCUGGUG
rnacentral:lncRNA from 1 species